rnacentral:rRNA from 1 species
AGGAGGAGGCUACCGAGAUUAAUACUCUGGGAUAGUGGACGUUACUCGCAGAAUAAGCACCGGCUAACUCUGUGCCAGCAGCCGCGGUAAUACAGAGGGUGCAAGCGUUAAUCGGAUUUACUGGGCGUAAAGCGCGCGUAGGUGGCCAAUUAAGUCAAAUGUGAAAUCCCCGAGCUUAACUUGGGAAUUGCAUUCGAUACUGGUUGGCUAGAGUAUGGGAGAGGAUGGUAGAAUUCCAGGUGUAGCGGUGAAAUGCGUAGAGAUCUGGAGGAAUACCGAUGGCGAAGGCAGCCAUCUGGCCUAAUACUGACACUGAGGUGCGAAAGCAUGGGGAGCAAACAGGAUUAGAUACCCUGGUAGUCCAUGCCGGAAACGAUGUCUACUAGCCGUUGGGGCCUUUGAGGCUUUAGUGGCGCAGCUAACGCGAUAAGUAGACCGCCUGGGGAGUACGGUCGCAAGACUAAAACUCAAAUGAGAUUGACGG